rnacentral:rRNA from 1 species
UCUAAGCACAAGCCCAAGAAUGGUAAAGCCGCGAAUGGCUCAUUACAACAGCCAUAGUUUACUGGAUCUUACAUUCCUACUUGGAUAACUGUGGUAAUUCUAGAGCUAAUACACGCACGAAAGCUCUGACCUUACGGAAGGAGCGCAUUUAUUAGAACAAAACCAAUCGGAACGCAAGUUCCGCCAAUUGGUGAAUCUGAAUAACUUUGCCGAUCGCAUGGUCUCGUACCGGCGACGUAUCUUUCAAAUGUCUGCCUUAUCAACUUUAGAUGGUAGUUUACACGCCUACCAUGGUUGUAACGGGUAACGGAGAAUAAGGGUUCGACUCCGGAGAGGGAGCCUGAGAAAUGGCUACCACAUCCAAGGAAGGCAGCAGGCACGCAAAUUACCCACUCCCGGCACGGGGAGGUAGUGACGAAAAAUAACGAGGCGGUUCUCUACGAGGCCCGCCAUCGGAAUGGGUACAAUUUAAA